GGCUCAGUUAGCUCAGGUGGUUAGAGAAUGGUGUUGAUAAUGCCAAGGUCAUGAGUUUGAGCCCCAUAUGGGCCA